AAUAGAUACCCUGGUAGUCCUAGCCGUAAACGAUGGACACCAGGUGUUGGUGGUAUCAACCCCACCAGUGCCGAAGCUAACGCAUUAAGUGUCCCGCCUGGGGAGUACGGCCGCAAGGCUAAAACUCAAAGGAAUUGACGGGGGCUCACACAAGCGGUGGAGCAUGUUGCUUAAUUCGAAGCAACGCGAAGAACCUUACCUGGGCUUGACGUGCACGGAUUAACUCUUAGAAAUAGGAGCCACGCCCGCAAGGGUGGAACGUGCACAGGUGCUGCAUGGCUGUUGUCAGCUCGUGCUGUGAAGUGUCGGGUUAAGUCCCUUAACGAGCGCAACCCCUGUCGCUAGUUGCCAGCGCGUCAUGGCGGGGACUCUAGCGAGACUGCCGGUGUCAAACCGGAGGAAGGUGGGGAUGACGUCAAGUCCUCAUGGCCCUUACGUCCAGGGAUGCAAACGUGCUACAAUGGGGCGCACAAAGCGAUGCGAGGCCGCGAGGCGGAGCAAAUCGCAAAAAACCGCCCCCCAGUU
rnacentral:rRNA from 1 species